rnacentral:rRNA from 1 species
AGAGCGAACGCUGGCGGCAGGCCUAACACAUGCAAGUCGAACGGACCCUUCGGGGUUAGUGGCGGACGGGUGAGUAACACGUGGGAACGUGCCUUUUGGUUCGGAAUAGCUCCUGGAAACGGGUGGUAAUGCCGAAUGUGCCCUUCGGGGGAAAGAUUUAUCGCCAUUAGAGCGGCCCGCGUCUGAUUAGCUAGUUGGUGAGGUAAUGGCUCACCAAGGCGACGAUCAGUAGCUGGUCUGAGAGGAUGACCAGCCACAUUGGGACUGAGACACGGCCCAAACUCCUACGGGAGGCAGCAGUGGGGAAUCUUGCGCAAUGGGCGAAAGCCUGACGCAGCCAUGCCGCGUGAAUGAUGAAGGUCUUAGGAUUGUAAAAUUCUUUACACCGGGGACGAUAAUGACGGUACCCGGAGAAGAAGCCCCGGCUAACUUCGUGCCAGCAGCCGC